rnacentral:rRNA from 1 species
CCUACGGGAGGCUGCAGUGGGGAAUAUUGCACAAUGGGGGAAACCCUGAUGCAGCGACGCCGCGUGAGCGAUGAAGUAUUUCGGUAUGUAAAGCUCUAUCAGUAGGGAAGAAAAUGACGGUACCUGACUAAGAAGCCCCGGCUAACUACGUGCCAGCAGCCGCGGUAAUACGUAGGGGGCAAGCGUAAUCCGGAUUUACGGGGGGUAAAGGGAGCAUAGACGGCUUUGCAAGGCAGAUGUGAAAGCCCGGGGCUCAACCCCGGGACUGUAUUUGAAACUGUGUGGCUGGAGUGUCGGAGAGGCAGGCGGAAUUCCUAGUGUAGCGGUGAAAUGCGUAGAUAUUAUGAGGAACACCGGUGGCGAAGGCGGCCUGCUGGACGAUGACUGACGUUGAGGCUCGAAAGCGUGGGGAGCAAACAGGAUUAGAUACCCGAGUAGUC